rnacentral:rRNA from 2 species
AGUUUGAUCCCUGGCUCAGGACGAACGCUGGCGGCGUGCCUAAUACAUGCAAGUCGAACGAACUCUGGUAUUGAUUGGUGCUUGCAUCAUGAUUUACAUUUGAGUGAGUGGCGAACUGGUGAGUAACACGUGGGAAACCUGCCCAGAAGCGGGGGAUAACACCUGGAAACAGAUGCUAAUACCGCAUAACAACUUGGACCGCAUGGUCCGAGCUUGAAAGAUGGCUUCGGCUAUCACUUUUGGAUGGUCCCGCGGCGUAUUAGCUAGAUGGUGGGGUAACGGCUCACCAUGGCAAUGAUA